rnacentral:tRNA from 1 species
GCCCGGUUAGCUCAGUCGGUAGAUCAUCAGACUUUUAAUCUGGGGGUCGUGGUUUGAGCCCCCCAUCGGGCG